rnacentral:rRNA from 1 species
GACGAACGCUGGCGGCGUGCCUAAUACAUGCAAGUCGAGCGGACUGAAUGGGAGCUUGCUCUUGUUCGGUCAGCGGCGGACGGGUGAGUAACACGUGUGCAACCUGCCCGCAAGACCGGGAUAACUCCGGGAAACCGGAGCUAAUACCGGAUAACACCGAAGACCGCAUGGUCUUUGGGUGAAAGGCGGCGGAAGCUGCCACUUGCGGAUGGGCCCGCGGCGCAUGUGCUAGUUGGUGAGGUAACGGCUCACCAAGGCGACGAUGCGUAGCCGGCCUGAGAGGGUGGCCGGCCACACUGGGACUGAGACACGGCCCAGACUCCUACGGGAGGCAGCAGUAGGGAAUCUUCCGCAAUGGGCGAAAGACUGACGGAGCGACGCCGCGUGAGCGAAGAAGGCCUUCGGGUCGUAAAGCUCUGUUGUGAGGGACGAAGGAGCGCCGUUUGAAGAAGGCGGCGCGGUGACGGUACCUCACGAGGAAGCCCCGGCUAACUACGUG